UACUCCUACGGGAGGCAGCAGUAGGGAAUCUUCGGCAAUGGGCGAAAGCCUGACCGAGCAACGCCGCGUGAGCGAUGAAGGCCUUCGGGUCGUAAAGCUCUGUUGUUAAGGAAGAACAAGUACGAGAGUAACUGCUCGUACCUUGACGGUACUUAACGAGAAAGCCACGGCUAACUACGUGCCAGCAGCCGCGGUAAUA
rnacentral:rRNA from 1 species